AUUGAACGCUGGCGGCAGGCCUAACACAUGCAAGUCGAGCGAGCGGCGGACGGGUUAGUAAUGUAUGGGGACUGCCCGAUAGAGGGGGAUAACUACUGGAAACGGUGGCUAAUACCGCAUACUAUCGGAUGACCCAUAUGGGAUUAGCUAGUAGGGGGGGUAAAGGCUCACCUAGGUCACGAUCUCUAGCUGGUCUGAGAGGAUGAUCAGCCACACUGGAACGGAGACACGGCCCAGACUCCUACGGAGGCAGCAGUGGGGAAUAUUGGACAAUGGGCGCAAGCCUGAUGCAGCCAUGCCGCGUGUAUGAAGAAGGCCUUAGGGUUGUAAAGUACUUUAAGCGGGGAGGCGUUACCAGCAGAAGAAGCACCGGCUAACUCCGUGCCAGCAGCCGCGGUAAUAC
rnacentral:rRNA from 1 species